CACACCUAAGCUUAAUCCUUGACUCAAAGCUCAACACAAUUUUUCCUUCUUAAAAAGCUUAUCUACCUUACUAUGGCCAUCACCUUAAGGAUAACUCUUAAGUGUCCCUCCCCUAGCCUUCAAUUCUUUGGUCCCAAUCCAGACCUAGAACUCUGUAGAGCUGUGUACUCUGAUAACACACCAGUCAGAAGUAGAUUAUGGGUUCAAAUCCUAGCUCUGCUACUUAGCAACAGUCUGAUCUUGGACAAGUGAUUCAACAUCUUUCAGUUUCCUGUGAAAACUAGAGUCAGAGUCCCAGAUCAACCAUAUCAACAUAGUGAGACCCUGCUCCUCUCCCUCUCUCUCACACACAAACCACACACAACACAAAAUAGUCACACCCUCAGGAUGAAGUCUCAUAAUAAGGAGAAACAGGCAAUCACAGUUCACUAUAAAAGGUACGAUCAUAAGUGGAUUCAAAUAAGUCAGCUUACUUUAAGUGUUGAGAGUAAACUGUUCGCAGCUGUUGGUUUAAAAUGAAGGAAAGGCAGCUCCUUGUAGAAGGAACUAUGUGUAAAGCACUGAGAAAAAAUCCAAGAUGACACUGACACGUGACCCGUUUGGGAAACUGCUCUGUGAGUCGGCUAGGGGGCUGGAGAGGAACUGGCUAACUGGAGACUGGCAACAGGAAGCAGACCUUUCCGACAAGCCUGGGAUUAACAGAUAACACAGAGCAGGGCAGUGGUGGUGCAUGCCUUUAAUCCCAGCACUUGGGAGGCAGAGGCAGGAGGAUUUCUGAGUUCAAGGCCAGCCUGGUCUACAAGUGAGUUUCGGGACAGCCAGGGCUACACAGAGAAACCCUGUCUCAAAAAAACAAAAACAAACAAAACACAGGAGCUGAGUUCUAGCAUAGGUCAAGAGGGAAAGCCCAUGGAGCCACAAUUUAAUACGCAAUUUCAGGGCCGUGGACAAA
rnacentral:lncRNA from 1 species